GACGAGGGGUCCAAGCGUUUGUUCGGAAUUAUUGGGCGUAAAGCGGGUGUAGGCGGCUCUGUAAGUCAGGAGUGAAAGCCCCGAGCUUAACUCGGGAAGUGCUUUUGACACUGCAGAGCUUGAAUGUGGGAGAGGGUAGUGGAAUUCCUGGUGUAGCGGUGAAAUGCGUAGAUAUCAGGAGGAACACCUGUGGCGAAAGCGGCUCACUGGACCAUAACUGACGCUGAUGCACGAAAGCUAGGGGAGCAAACAGG
rnacentral:rRNA from 1 species